GCUCGCUCUCUCUGUCUUUCUAGCUUCCAUGUAAAGACAUAGCAAGAAGAUGGCUAUCUGUGGGCCCAAAAUUAGGCCCUUACCAGGAAUUAAAUUGGCAAGAUCUUGAUCUUGGAUUUCCCAGCCUCCAAAACUGUAAAAAAUAAAUGUUUCUUGCUUAAGGCACCCAGUUUAUGGUAUUUUGUUAUAACAGCCUGAGUAGACUAAGAUGGUUCUGCAUUUCUUUCAGUGGCACCAUAUUCCCAGUCAGGCAGGCUGGAUGUUUGGAAAUCAUCCUCAACUUCUGUUUCUGCUCUCACAAUCCAUUACUAAAUUCUGUUCUCUUUUUUGGUAUUCUUGCUUUGUAUUCAGUACCACAGCACCGUGCCAUUUAUUGUCUGGAUUAUUUAUAUAAUAUCCUCUUUGGUUCACUUUUUGUCUAUGAGUUCCUGGAGACUUAAAGAAGAGGAAUUUGAGACACAACAAAGUAUCCUCCUUCAGAAAUCUCCAGCGGCUUUCCAUUGCUUGAAGAAGAACAUUCAAACUCCUCAGCAAAGAAUUUACAGCACCCCAUGAUAAGGCCUCAAUCACCUCUUUAGCCUCAGCUCCUAAUAUACCCAGCCAUAUGCCUUUUACUGCAGCCAUGUGGGUUCACCAAACAUGUUUUCAGGUUCCUGGGUCUUCGCAUCUCUGCUUGGUAGAGUUCUUGACUUUUCAUCCUGUUCUGAAAUCCUACUCAUUCUUCAAGACUCUUUUGAAGUGCUUCCUCCCUCUGGCCACCCCAUGAUUUGUCUCAUUAAAUGCUUAUGUUUCAAACACUGCAAAGUAUUUUGUUUCCACCUUUGUCGUGUCACUUAAUUUUCAACAUGAUUGUCAUCUUGUUUAGAAUGACAGGUUUGUAAGGACUGGGAUCUUUGUACAUGGUGCUUUGUACAUCGAAGUUGCUCAAUAAAUGUUUAUUGAACUUAACACCUUUGGAGAAAGAGUUGACUGGAACCUAUAAGCAAGACUGAAAUUUAGGUAAAUGGGAGGGCAUUGAAAUAGAAAGUGAGUGUAUUCAUGAGAAAACAGUUUUCUCUUUGUCUUUUGCCCAAGUAAAUCCUCCUUAGGAUAGAAUCAAUGCUUUUUUACCCUGGAGGUACACAUUCAAGUCACAACAUCUUUGUGUGAUCUACACCAGACUUAUGACUUUCAUACUUCAGAUGUAUACUACAAAUAACAAACACAGAAUUCUUAUUAGUCGUUUAAAUAUUUGUUGGUUUUAUGUCAUUCUGCCAUUCUUGGUUUAAUAUAUCUGCUACAUAAUAGAGGAUUUGUCUGGUCUUUGCCCCAGGUUUCUGACAUGAAGCUUCUAAAACCCUUGGAAUUUCCGGAGAGAUAGAAGUUGUUUUGUUAUUCCUGAGCCUCCUGGAUGGCUCCUGAGUUUAUGCUAAUGAGGUGACUCAUGGUGGGCUAUUCGAUAGCUUUGGGACAGGGGCUGGUCACCAGAAAGACCAAUCAUGUGAUAAGAGGGUUGAAACUUGAAACUUUGAUCCAGUCUGACUUCCAGGGAGGACAAGGUGUGGAGGCUGAGUUCAGUCAUGUUGCCAAUGAUUUAAUCAAAUAUGCCUACCUAAUGGAACCUCAAUAAAAACUGAACACCAAAGCUUAGUGGUGCUUCCUGGUUGGUGAACACAUCCAUGUGCUGGGACGGUGCCAUGACUUGAUUUGAUGGGAAGAUGAUAAGGAAGUUAUGCACUAGGGACCCUCCCAGACCUUCCCCAUGUGUCUUUUCAUUUGGCUGAUCCAGAAUGUAUCCUAUAUAAUAAAACUCUAAUCCUAAGUACUACACUUUCCUGAGUCUGAGUUGUUCCAGUGAAUUAUUGAACCUAAGAGGUCAUGGGAAUCACCAAAUUUAUAGCUAGUUGUUCAGAAGUGUGGGUGACCUGGAGACCCCCAAAGUACAGCUGGAAUCUGAAGUAAGGGAAGAUUUGUGAAGGGUUAAGCCCUUAACUUAUGGAUCCUGCACUAACUCUAGAUGGUCAGUGCCAAAAAUAACUUUUAGUACACCAAUUUUGGUUGAAAGAAAAAUGUCACAGAAUGAAAACCAUUUUAGUAAAUAGCAGUAAUUCAGUCAUUUUUGGUGGAAAUUCUUUGGUGUGAUCUAAACCAAAAUGAGAUCAGCUUUGCUUCAAAAAGGUUUUGCCAAAUAAGAGAACCAGCUGAAUAUUUAAUGUUUAAAGUAUCAAUUUCUAUGCAUUUUUUCCUUUUUCAUAGUGUUCAGGAAUUAAUUUUGUUAGCAGUCAAGAUUGCUUAGUCCUCAGAGUUACAUUUCCAUUUUGCAAAGUAACAAAUGGUUGGUUUUUACUCUUAGUUUCCCUUUCCCCACCCAGCAUGUAAACAACCUGCCAUAUUGUUGCAGAAAAGCAAAUAGGGUUAAAACUGGAGACAAGACUUCCAUCAUUUUUGCCAAGCAGAGAGGGAAGAACUCAGCAAUCACAUAAUUUUGCUCAAACUAAGUGCAUCUGAGAACUAUUCAAAUGUUCACAGGAGGACAUACGACCUCUCUCUUCCCCGCUACUCUUUGGAUAUUACACUUUGUUAUUUGUCAUCAAAAUUGGCCUUUUCCUUUAUCUCUUUGUGGUAAAACUUGAUGGCAUCUGAAUUUACACUGUCUCCUUGACAGUUGUGCUGCUUCUUUCUGGCAGUUUCUACUUUUCCUUUCAUUUUAUUAUCCUGCUUUUUAUUUCCAUUUUGUUUUUAUAGUCCCUGUGUACUGUCCUGACCUUUAGAUGGUCUUACCUUCAACACAGCAAGGAUGUCACACUAUCACGUACAAAUAACAAUGUGCUUUCUUAGCUCAUUUCCCUAGCAUAACUCUUUUUGACAUGUCAAAAGCAAGUUUUUGAGAAAUCAAUUGUGUUUUUAUUUUGCCCUAAGGGUUCUUAACCCAAUGUCUCUUCUUUUAUUCUUAUUUUAUUAUCCAAGGGAAAAAAUUUUACUUAGUUUAUUUUUUUUAAGCCAGUACUUUGCUCAUCAAUUGUUUGUUGAAUUUAUUCCCACUGGAUGAGUAGAUGUAUUCUUUUGAAAUAAUGUGUCAAAUCUUUGUAGCCAAAGAUUAAAAAACUAAAAGUGAAAUACAUCUUAUGAGAUGUGCUUGGAAGAUCUUAUUUCUUUGCAGAGAACAACUUAUUUUUUUCAGCGAAUGUGUUUUUCUCUGGAAAACAUAAUUAGUUAACAGUAGGGGGUCAAGUGUCACUGAACAGAAUUGCUCAUUCAAGUAAGAUGAAUGAAUUUUGGUUUGAGGGCAUCAUAGUAUGCUUUAUUUAUAGUUGACUAGGUUGCUCCAGUUACUGAAGAGCAUUCAUAUGCUACUUAGUGUAGCAAGACAGUGCAUAAACCCUGUUCGUCACAAAUUUUUUUACAUUAUAAUUCUGUUUUAUUGUAAGCAAUAGGUUUGGAAUAAUAAAUAAUUUUACAGGUUCAAACUCAAAGCAUUCAUUGGUUUAUUAAGAUAAAUUUGCAAAGCUAAUAUUGUUGGCUGCUUUCCUAGUCUAUGGUUUUGUUCUAGUUCUCUUAACUGUAUUCUUUUGUCCACAUUUUGUAUAGGAAAUAUACUAUUUUCUCCCCUUCUGUGUAUUCUUGUGAAGAGGGGAUAAAUAUCAACAGUGAUGGAAUCUACUCUAAUUGCUUGCCAAGACUAAAAAUCCAUAAACAACUCUGUUUGUCAAGUCAAAGGAAUGCUGCAUAAAAAUUUUUGUACAGACAGAAAGAAGAUUACGACAAAUUUACAAAAGCAAUCUUUUAUUCUUCUUUACAUAAAACUGCAUAUAUAACUGCAUUAAGAGAGAAGACAAUAUCCAGGAAAAUAGUCCAGGACUGGCACAACUGUUCUAGGAAGUUACCAAGGCUCUGCAAAGGCAUCUGAAGGGAUGUGGAGAAACAAAGAAGAAUUAUAUACAAUUCCUGAUCUUAAGACAUAUAUUGGCAUUGGAAGAUAAUUACAAGUUUAAAUGACUGACGUAAAAUUACAUACACGGUGCACUGGCAAGAUAGCAGAAAGGAUGUCCUAGUUGAGGUUCUACUGAAGCAGACCCUAACAUUCAAAUGUCACACCUGCAGAAGUAGUGUGUAUGACUUCCAGGGAAUGUUCUUAAAGAGUAGAAACAUGCCUUUCUUUUCUAUUUCUGCCCCUCUGCCUGGAAUGGGGACUGAAUAACUGGAGCUCUAGGAACCAUUGUGUACUGUGAGGGAACCUUCGGGAUGAGUAAAUAAGGUAGGUCUCUGAUACUAUGAAGGGCCAUGUCCAUCCUGGAAUGAAUAUCUUUGGAUCCUUGAAUGUGACAGUAAAGGAAAUUUCUCUCUUGGUUAAAUCAUAUUCAUGACUUAUUUUGUUUGCUACUCAUAGCUGAAAUAAAUCCUAACUAAUCCAUGUGUAUCAUUUAAUGUGAUCCUGACAAUGACCCUCUGAGGUAACACUAUGAUGAUCUCCAUUGGCAGGGGAAGAAAACAAGGCCCAGAGAACCUAAGUCACUUUCUUGGGGUCACAUAGCUAAUGAAUGGUAAAGCUGGGGUUCUAACACCCCCUCUUUGGCACUAUACUAUAUGCACCAUAUAUAAGAUGAACUGGACAAAAGAACCCCACUGGUCUUAUGUCUGUAGUUAGGACACAAGAACCCAGCUGGUCUUAUGUCCACAGUUAGGACACCUUUCUAAUAAGACUAAAUGAUGAAUCUGACUCUUUAGUGGCCUGGUUAGUAAAUGUGGAUUGUUCAGUGCAAAGCCCUUGCAUAAUCAGAUUCCUGGUAGAGAAUACAUGAUGUUUUGGUUAGGAUGUUUUUUUGACGUCAAGUUACUAAAAAUUCAAUUCAAAUUGGCUUGACUAAUUAAAAAAUUUGUUAGCUCACAUUAAAGGAGAUUCAGACAUAGGGUGGUCUUCAGGGUUGAUUCAGCAGCUAAAUGAUGUUAUCAAGAAAAAAGGUUCUUUUCUCCUCUACUCCAUGACCCAUAGCAUCAGCGUCAUCUGUAAACCAGUUUUCCUUGUGGUAACAAGGAGGCUGGUUGUAGCAACCAGGAUUACUCACUGUCUUAUUCACAUCUAGCAGAAAGAGAAAGACAUCUCCUGUCAUUCUUUUAAAAUUAAGGUAGAACUUUCCCAGAAGCUUCCUGCCAACCUUGUCCUGUCCAGUUGGUUGUAGGUAUGGUCUCAAGGGGGACAUCAACACAUAAAUGGUAAUUGGCACCAUCAAUACAUAAACGGUAAUUGGCGCCAUGGGGGUGGGUGACGUGUAGGGCUGCCUGCUGGCAAGCACGUUAAUUGUGAUGUUUAGGAAGGGACUCUCCCUCUGGACCAAAUAAUUUGAAAUCUGCCCUACAUCCCGUUUUCCCCCAAGAUUGGCCCUGCUCCUGCAUUAGGACUCCAGUGGUGAAUAACUCCCCUCCUCCCCUGACCAGGUGUCUCCAUACAGGAAACUCCCUUCAUAACGAUAUGUGGCAACAGGGAUGAGAUGAUCCUGAGGAGUGGCAGACUGAGAAAAGAAGAGGGCUUUGGGAAGAACCUCAAGGACCACAUCUCCUUUUCACAGCCUGGUGUCCAGAACUGUAGAGAUGCUCCGGCCAUGACAGGUCCAUAGCAGAGUGAGCCUAUCACCCCCUGCAUCCUAAAUACCCUGUCUCUGUUAACACAGCCUGAUACUGCAUCAGAUUUUGGAGGAUGACAAAAAGCUGUCAAUUUAUGCUAACUUGUACUCCUACAUAUUUUUCAUAUAGGCUACUUCUCAGAUAUAUCCCUGCCAGGCUUGCUGUAUGGAGGGGGAUUGUCUAUUCUUAUACAUAGUCCUCUGUCUCUCUGAAGCAGUGGAAUGUGUGAAAUGCGGUUAACUCUCCCUAAGCCCUGCUGUGAGGACUCCUUUACCACCUCCUUUACCCUCUUCUGCAAUGUGCUCCACCUUCCAGGACUCAGUACUUCUCUACCAGCCCCUUCAAGUGCAUUAUUUUUCCUUCCUUCCUUCCUUCCUUCCUUCCUUCCUUCCUUCCUUCCUU